rnacentral:misc_RNA from 1 species
GAAAUGCGAUAAGUAAUGUGAAUUGCAGAAUUCAGUGAAUCAUCGAAUCUUUGAACGCACAUUGCGCCCGCCAGCACUCUGGCGGGCAUGCCUGUUCGAGCGUCAUUUCAACCCUCAGAACCCCUUGCGGGAUCUGGCGUUGGGGAUUGGCAUCCAGCCAGCGCCGAAAUCUAGUGGCGGUCCCUCCGCGACCUCCCCUGUGCAGUAGCGAUACCUCGCAGCGGGACAGCGGUCUGACCACGCCGUAAAACCCCCAACUUCUCAAGGUUGACCUCGAAUCAGGUAGGAAUACCCGCUGAACUUAAGC